rnacentral:rRNA from 1 species
UACGUUCUCAUCUUUUAGGUGAGAAUCAGUUGACUGUCAUACUUCCAAGAAAAGCUCGAACUACUUUACACCAUAAAGUACCUGUACCGUAAACCGACACAGGUGGGUUAGUAGAGUAUACUAAGGGGCGCGAGAUAACUCUCUCUAAGGAACUCGGCAAAAUGACCCCGUAACUUCGGGAGAAGGGGUGCCAAGUAACUCAAAUUGCUUGGUCGCAGUGACCAGGCCCUGGCGACUGUUUAUCAAAAACACAGGUCUCCGCAAAGUCGUAAGACAACAUAUGGGGGCUGACGCCUGCCCAGUGCCGGAAGGUUAAAGAAGUUGGUUAUUCAUUCGUGGAGAAGCUGACGACUGAAGCCCCGGUGAACGGCGGCCGUAACUAUAACGGUCCUAAGGUAGCGAAAUUCCUUGUCGGGUAAGUUCCGACCCGCACGAAAGGCGUAACGAUCAGGGCACUGUCUCGGAGAGAGACUCGGUGAAAUAGACAUGUCUGUGAAGAUGCGGACUACCUACACCUGGACAGAAAGACCCUAUGAAGCUUGACUGUAGCUUGGAAUUGGGUUCGGGCUCUUCUUGCGCAGCCUAGGUGGGAGGCGUUGAAGGUUUUCUUUUGGGAAAGCUGGAGCCAACAGUGAGAGACCACUCUGGAAGAGCUAGAAUUCUAAUGGCGUUCCUUGAAGCAGGACGCUUGACAGUUUCAGGUGGGCAGUUUGACUGGGGCGGUCACCUCCUAAAAGGUAACGGAGGUGUGCAAAGGUUCCCUCAGGCUGGACGGAAAUCAGCCGGAGAGUGUAAAGGCAGAAGGGAGCUUGACUGCAAGACCUACAAGUCGAGCAGGGGCGAAAGCCGGCCUUAGUGAUCCGACGGCUCCAUGUGGAAGGGCCGUCGCUCAACGGAUAAAAGUUACUCUAAGGAUAACAGGCUGAUCUUCCCCAAGAGUUCACAUCGACGGGAAGGUUUGGCACCUCGAUGUCGGCUCAUCGCAACCUGGGGCGGUAGUACGUCCCAAGGGUUGGGCUGUUCGCCCAUGAAAGCGGUACGUGAGCUGGGUUCAGAACGUCGUGAGACAGUUCGGUCCAUAUCCGGUGUAGGCGCUAGAGCAUUGAGAGGAGCCUUCCAUAGUACGAGAGGACCUGGAAGGACGCACCUCUGGUAUACCAGUUAUCAUGCCAAUGGUAAACGCUGGGUAGCCAUGUGUGGAGUGGAUAACCGCUGAAAGCAUCUAAGUGGGAAGCCCACCUCAAGAUGAGUGCUCUCCAUUAGGUCACAGGAAAACAACCUGUUUGAUAGGCAGAAGGUGUAAGACUAGUAAUAGUUUCAGCUGAUCUGUACUAAUAGACCGAUUGAUUUU